rnacentral:rRNA from 1 species
UGGCUCAGAGCGAACGCUGGCGGCAGGCCUAACACAUGCAAGUCGAACGGACCCUUCGGGGUUAGUGGCGGACGGGUGAGUAACACGUGGGAACGUGCCUUUAGGUUCGGAAUAGCUCCUGGAAACGGGUGGUAAUGCCGAAUGUGCCCUUCGGGGGAAAGAUUUAUCGCCUUUAGAGCGGCCCGCGUCUGAUUAGCUAGUUGGUGAGGUAAUGGCUCACCAAGGCGACGAUCAGUAGCUGGUCUGAGAGGAUGACCAGCCACAUUGGGACUGAGACACGGCCCAAACUCCUACGGGAGGCAGCAGUGGGGAAUCUUGCGCAAUGGGCGAAAGCCUGACGCAGCCAUGCCGCGUGUAAUGAUGAAGAGUCUUAGGCAUUGUAAAAUUCUUUCACCGGGGACGAUAAUGACGGUACCCGGUACAAGAAGCCCCGGCUAAUUCGUC